rnacentral:lncRNA from 1 species
GUUUGUCUUGUUUCUACAUCUUCUUUUCAUCUACUAGGCAUGGUAAUGAAAGCCUACGUGGGAAUGGUGCUUCUUCAGAAGCCAAAAAGCAGACCAUCCCAGCUGACAUCAGAAACAUCAAUGCACAGAAGAGGCAGCACUGAUUCCUUGUGAGGCUGCACUGAUCUACAUGGGCUGAAGAUGCAUUCUGCCAGUCACCCCUGGUUCAAUCUGACUCCUUCUUGCCACUGCCAUUUUGAGAGUAAAAGCGCUUCUUGUGAGAACAUAAAUUGGAUCCCCACAGCUACAAGAAAGACACGAGAGCCCUCUGUGACAGUACAGCCCUGCUCUGCCCUUUUCAUCUCCUACCAACGUGUCUCCUGA